rnacentral:rRNA from 1 species
UACGUAGGUGGCAAGCGUUAUCCGGAAUUACUGGGCGUAAAGCGUGCGUAGGCGGUUUUUUAAGUCUGAUGUGAAAGCCCACGGCUCAACCGAGGAAGGUCAUUGGAAACUGGAAAACUAGAGUCCGGAAGAGGAAAGUGGAAUUCCCGGUGUAGCGGUGAAAUGCGUAGAGAUCGGGAGGAACACCAGUGGCGAAGGCGACUUUCUGGUCCGUAACUGACGCUGAGGGACGAAAGCGUGGGGAUCAAACAGG